rnacentral:lncRNA from 1 species
GACUACUUAUCAUAUACUAAAUGUCACAUUUUAAGUGUUCAGAAACAUUUACUUUGAUUUUAGUGUAUAAGUACUCAUCAAUUGAGGUGCUUCUGAAUUGGAGGAAGAUUCUAAAAACAGAACUUUACAGAAUCAAUGAAAACUGACGUUUCUCUCCCCAAUCUCAUGUAUCCCCAUUGACAUUGUUUACCGCGAAAGUUGACCUACAAAUUAUCUGAUUAUAGCCUCAGAUUAAAUCAUUGCAUGUUGGUGUGUGAAUCAUCUACACUACAGCAAACAUCAUUAGGUUUACAUUUAACAAAUACGGAUUUUUAAUUAGUAUACAAAUACUGUGAAUGGUUUUUAUAAUGAAUAAAGGAUAUCCCUGUGUAGUGUGGCAUUCCAACAAUGACGUCACUAGGUUAGAUAUAUUUAGAAUAUUUCGUAAUACUGAUUUUUCCGGACUGUAAAAGAAACGUAUAUAGUGUACGGGAAAGCUCAAUAUACGAUAAUUUCACGAGAAACAGAAGGGAAAUGUGUAAAAAAAUGUAUUUAAAGUCAAUCUAUUCUCCUUGUAAUCAAUUUCAGUAUGAC